rnacentral:rRNA from 1 species
CGUGGAUUAGGCACCGCAAGUUGAGCGUACCCAGCAAUGGGGAGCAGCGUAAGGGGCAGUAAGGCAUGGGUACCUACCCGAGGUUCGGGCAUAGCCUGUCAGAAAUACAGGGUAAUUCCCGAUGAUGUCGUAAGCCAAAGCUCCGGCGACCUCGGAGGGGCCCAUGUGAUAUUAGCUAGUUGGUGGGGUAACGGCCCACCAAGGCGAAGAUGUCUAGCGGGUGUGAGAGCACGACCCGCGCCACUGGCACUGAGACACUGGCCAGACACCUACGGGUGGCUGCAGCCGAGGAUCUUCGGCAAUGGGCGCAAGCCUGACCGAGCGACGCCGCGUGUGCGAUGAAGGCCUUCGGGUUGUAAAGCACUGUCGAGGGGGAGAAAAGCGAAAGCUUGAUCUAUCCCUGGAGGAAGCACGGGCUAAGUUCGUGCCAGCAGCCGCGGUAAGACGAACCGUGCGAACGUUGUUCGGAAUCACUGGGCUUAAAGGGCGCGUAGGCGGGCUAUCAAGUCCGGGGUGAAAUCCUCCAGCUCCACUGGAGAACGGCCUCGGAUACUGAUGGUCUCGAGGGAGAUAGGGGCACGCGGAACUGUGGGUGGAGCGGUGAAAUGCGUUGAUAUCCAUAGGAACUCCGGUGGCGAAGGCGGCGUGCUGGAUCUCAUCUGACGCUGAGGCGCGAAAGCCAGGGGAGCAAACGGGAUUAGAUACCCCGGUAGUCCUGGCCCUAAACGUUGGGUACUAGGUAGUAGACUAGACAUGGGUUUACUUCCGAAGCAAAAGUGCUAAGUACCCCGCCUGGGGAGUAUGGUCGCAAGGCUGAAACUCAAAGGAAUUGACGGGGGCUCACACAAGCGGUGGAGCAUGUGGCUUAAUUCGAGGCUACGCGAAGAACCUUAUCCUGGGCUUGACAUGUUCGAGAGAGUUCGCAAGUAGAACCCGGAAACGGGAGCGAACGGUAUCCAAUCCGGAAGCGAACACAGGUGCUGCAUGGCUGUCGUCAGCUCGUGUCGUGAGAUGUCGGGUUAAGUCCCAUAACGAGCGAAACCCUUACCCUCAGUUGCUAAUCAUAGGACUCUGGGGGGACUGCCUACGUUAAGUGGGAGGAAGGUGGGGAUGACGUCAAGUCCUCAUGGCCUU